UCUGACUGGAUCUCUAUUUUUGGGUUGC
rnacentral:piRNA from 1 species